rnacentral:tRNA from 1 species
UCCUUCGUGGCUCAAAUGGUAAAGCAUCUGCCUACAAUGCAGAAGACAUGGGUUCGAUCCCUGGGUCAGGAA